rnacentral:rRNA from 1 species
UACGAAGGGGGCUAGCGUUGUUCGGAAUUACUGGGCGUAAAGCGUACGUAGGCGGAUUGUUAAGUGAGGGGUGAAAUCCCGAGGCUCAACCUCGGAACUGCCUUUCAUACUGGCAAUCUUGAGUCCGGGAGAGGUGAGUGGAACUCCUAGUGUAGAGGUGAAAUUCGUAGAUAUUAGGAAGAACACCAGUGGCGAAGGCGGCUCACUGGCCCGAUACUGACGCUGAGGUGCGAAAGCGUGGGGAGCAAACAGG